rnacentral:misc_RNA from 1 species
CACCAUCACUGCAGAGUGGAAUGGUGUCAAUGUAGCUAGUUAACUGCAGUAGUCAAAAACUGCGGAUGUGUGUCCGUUUGUUCUAUUCGUUGUCGUUUAAGGCAUGGAAUUACGUCAGUUUUGUCCGGCGUUCAUUUUUUAUGAUGUAUGGGGUUGGAUGAGAUAGGGAAAAAUUUGUGAAUGCCUCCUAUUUUAUUACUUCGUGUAUUAAGGUUUUCCUCCUAUGGUAGUUGAAUAUAUAUGUAACAUUUAUAUCUAUCUAUAUAUAUAUAUAUACAUAUAUAAAUAUAUAAUAUUUUUUAUUUAUAUAGUAAUUUUGUAAUCUAGUGACAUUUAUAAAAUAACAUAUAAUACUUGUUGAAAUACAUAUAUUGUAAAAUUUUAACCCUUUGAUUCUGCCCAGACGGGUUUAGGUGUAAAAAUUUUAUUCAGUUUGAAUAGAAAUUUAGCAAACAUAAUGAUAACUUGCGAAUAUCGCUAAAAGAGAAGCAGUAGCUUCCUUACCCAAUAAGAUUCCUCUUGCAAUAUCUAGUCAGUUGUAAAAAUGUUAGAACCCUCGUCGUCAGAAGAAGAAAGCGAAAAUGAAACAGUCGAAGAAGAGAGUUCGGAAGCUACAGCGCUGUCUGCUUCUGCGACAAAUUUGGAUAUCCCAAGGAGUAGUAGCAUUCCCCGUAGCAUAUCGCCAGCCAGUGGUGCGGAUAACUUAAGCGUGGUGAGCAGUUCUCAGUCUAGAUCGAACAGUCUAGCUCGACCUUCUAGUCCCAGUCCAUCUCUGGUCAGUGAGAAAGAUAAAGAAAAAGAUGAAGUUGAUAAAGCUGAGAAGGAGGAAGAAGAGCGGAAGAAGCGUCUGCAGCUGUACGUGUUUGUAUUGCGCUGUAUCGCAUAUCCAUUCAAUGCAAAACAACCUAUGGACAUGGUCCGUAGAAAUUUGAAAGUCACGAAGCAGCAGCUCGAAACAAUUCAAGGACGUUUCCAAGCGUUCUUCAAGGGGGAGACAACUAUUGCAGCAGAUGAGGCCUUCAAUAAUGCAGUACAAAACUACUAUGAAGUUUUCCUUAAGAGUGACCGAGUAUUGAGGAUGGUACAAAGUGGUGCCUGUUCACAACAAGAUUUUCGUGAUGUUUUUAAAAUAAACAUUGAGAAAAGAGUUCGCAGUUUGCCUGAAAUCAAUGGCCUUAGCAAGGAAACUGUCCUCACAGCAUGGUUAAAUAAAUUCGAUGCAAUACUUCGAGGGGACGAAGACACUCGAAAACCUCAAAGUAGGUUACAGCAGAAUGUUGCCUCUGAACUUAUAUUAAGCAAAGAACAGUUAUAUGAUAUGUUCCAGAAUAUUCUAGGCAUAAAGAAGUUUGAACAUCAGCUUUUGUAUAAUGCUUUGCAGCUGGAUUCUCAAGAUGAACAAGCUGCUGCUAUACGACGAGAACUAGAUGGCAGAAUACAAAAAGUGAAUGAGAUGGAAAAGAAUCGAAAAUUGAUGCCUAAGUUUGUGCUCAAGGAAAUGGAGAGUUUGUAUAUAGAAGAGUUACGUUCUUCCAUUAAUCAGUUAAUGCUUAAUCUUGAAAGUUUGCCUGUAUCGAAAGGUGGCGCUGAUGGGAAAUAUGGUCUACAGAAGCUCAAGAGAUAUAACCAUAGCCGAUCAAGCUAUCUCUCGGCAUCUGCAAAUAUAUGGCCUGAUUGCAGCCCUCUUAAAGUUGUAAUGUGCCUGCAAGCUCCCCUCUGGAUAAUCAUUUACAAUGCACUAGUCUUUUCUUUUACUUACAUGAGUCAGUCAUCACUAUCCAAAGAAGCUCUAGCAGAAGAUGGAGAAACCUCGCUCUCUAAGCUUGACGUUGUCCUUUCAUUCACGUUGGAGGUAGUAGUAAUGGAAGUUAAAGGAUUAAAAUCAUUAUCACCUAAUAGAAUAGUAUAUUGUACAAUGGAAGUAGAAGGAGGAGAAAAAUUACAAACUGACCAUGCAGAGGCAUCUAAACCUAUGUGGGAUACACAAGGUGAUUUUACUACUACCCAUGCUCUGCCUAUAGUAAAAGUGAAAUUAUACACAGAAAGUCCUGGCUUAUUGAGCUUAGAUGACAAAGAACUUGGAAAAGUAAUUAUAAAACCCACUCCCUUAAGUCCCAAAACCCCUGAAUGGUACAAAAUGAUAGUUCCCAAAAAUGCCCCUGAUCAAGAUUUACGAAUAAAGAUUGUUGUCCGCAUGGAUAAGCCUCUAAAUAUGAAGCAUUGCGGGUAUUUAUUUGCGCAGGGAAAGCAGGUAUGGAAAAAAUGGAAAAAAAGAUACUUUCUACUGGUUCAAGUUUCACAGUAUACAUUCGCAAUGUGCAGUUAUCGAGAAAAGAAAUCGGAGCCUACAGAGAUGAUGCAGCUAGACGGGUACACUGUAGAUUAUGUUGAACCAGUGAUGGAUCUUGAAGGUGGGAGGUUUUUCUUCAAUGCGGUCAAAGAAGGAGAUAGUGUUCUCUUUGCCAGUGAUGAUGAAAAUGAAUGCCAUUUAUGGGUUAUGGCUAUGUACAGAGCAACAGGCCAGUCCCAUAAACCAACACCACUUAUUCAACCACAGACUAGCAAAAAUUCCACUAUUUCUAGGCUUCAAGGAGAUGCAGAUCGAGCUCGCAAACAUGGUAUGGAUGAAUUCAUAUCAGCAGAUCCUUGUAAAUUUGCUCAUCACACAUUAUUUAGAACUCUUCAAACCACAACACUUGAUUAUCGUCUAAAUGACCCAUAUUGUUCCUUGGGAUGGUUCAGUCCAGGGCAAGUUUUUGUUCUUGAUGAGUAUUGUGCUCGCUAUGGAGUUCGCAGUUGUUAUCGUCAUCUCUGUUACCUGCAUGACUUAUUGGAUAGAGCAGAGAAAUCAAUCAUGAUUGACCCUACUCUAAUACAUUACAGUUUUGCAUUUUGUGCCUCGCAUGUUCAUGGAAACAGUACUGCCCCACCAGGACAGGUUGCCACAGAUGUGAGGCCUGAUGGUAUUGGUACAGUCACUGUAGAAGAAAAAGACAUUUUUGCCGAGAUAAAAGAAAGAUUAAGGAUUCUCCUCGAAAAUCAAAUUACUCAUUUUAGAUAUUGCUUCCCCUUUGGAAGGCCUGAAGGAGCUUUGAAGGCUACAUUAUCUUUGCUAGAAAGGGUUUUAAUGAAGGAUGUAAUGACUCCUGCACCUCCAGAAGAAGUUAGAGCUGUGAUAAAAAAGUGCUUAGAAAAUGCAGCCCUCGUAAAUUAUACACGGAUAUCAGAACAGGCUAAAAUUGAAGAAACAGGAUGGAUGAAAAUGCAUCGCCGCAGAAAAAACUUGAGGAUUUAAUUCACUUAGCAGAACUUUGUGUUGAUCUUUUGCAACAAAACAAUGAAAAUUAUGCUGAGGCAUUUCGAUCGGAUGCGGCAUUUGCAUGGUUUAGUGAUCUUCUAGUUGAGCAUGCUGAAAUCUUCUGGUCUUUGUUCGCUGUAGACAUGGAUACUGUUUUAGCUGAA